CACUCACUGAGCGGGGCCUGCAGGCCAGAGCGGAGGGAGGCCAGCCGGAAGCCGCUGUGGGCAGUGCUUAUUGGGAUGGGGGUUGCAGAGGAAAUCCUGGGGUGCGUGUCCAGAGGGAGCCUGGUCAUCUGCAUUGCAUCCCAGAGUCGGCCUCUCCCAGCAUCUCUCCGACUCCUCUCCUUCCUCCCAGGAUCCUCCCCGCACCCCCCCACCCCGACCUCCGCCCUCCAUCCUCCGCCCUCCACCCUCCCCCGCUGAUUCGGGUGCUCACACUCUCAGGCACCUGCUGUGGCUCACUCCCCUCCACUAAGGGCCAGGCCAGGGCUGAAGAUCAGGCUGUUCUGGUCCCACCCAGCUCCCUUCUCUCCCUGCCAAAAAUAGCCCUGGGGUCAGCUCUCAUGCUCCACCAAAUAUAGCCAUCUGGCCUGCCUGCCCUGCCCCCAAGUGCCUGCCAGCCUCAGGCAGGGUGCAGAGGGGGGAAGGUCAGGGAUUGGGCAGAGCAAGAAGGGAAGAGCCUCUUGCCAGGCUCCUGGGGCUGGGGGCCUCAGGGGCUCUUUAGGAUGAGCCACCCCCACCCCUCACCCAGGCCUUCCUGGCACUCCCACCUGGAUGGCUGACAGGGACGAAGCGUGGCCCUCUAUGCCACGCCUACCCUGGGCAGCUCCUGGUCUGUCAGAUGCACAGGGACAGACCUCCUGGGGCCCCAGAAAGCCCUUCUUCCCAAGACUGCCCCCCACCCACCCUGGGUCCCUGCUUUCCCCAGCGCCUCCACACACUUACUAGGCAGACUAGGCAGACUGGGGCAGACCCCCAGAGCUGCCAGGAGGGAUGGUGGUGGACACUCGAGUCCCUCCAGUAGGCAGUUCUGGAUGGUGGCUGGAGCGGUUGCGGGGGGUGGUCUCUGGGAGCACAGAAGGUGGGGGCAGGGUGAAAGGGUGAAAGGGUAGGGCUGGGCUUCUCAGAACUUGUCCUUGCGUGGGUCCUGGUGGGGGCAGGGCUUCAGAGCAGACCCCAGAGGGUAGCCAGGAGUAUGGGGGCCAGGGCCAGGGUUCCGGGGAUGGCGAGGCCAGCGCCGUUACAGAGGUCGUACUGGCAGCAGGAGGUGGUAGAGGCGUGCUUGGAGUAACCAUCGUACACGGUCUCGAAGCAGCUGGGCACGCAGGACUUGCUCACCUUCAUCCUGGUCGGGGUGUAGU
rnacentral:lncRNA from 1 species